GCCGGGGUGAUGAAAUUGGUAGACAUGUUGGUCUUAGAAACCAAUGCCUUACCGCGUGCGAGUUCGAGUCUCGCCCUCGGCACCA
rnacentral:tRNA from 1 species